rnacentral:lncRNA from 1 species
UUGGUUUCUCCCUCGAGGUCACAUAGUGUGCUUAAUAAUUUUGAGAUGAUAGAAGGCCAUCUUUGCUAGCCUAUUUAUCCCAUAUUUGUCCUAUAUCUUUAUAUGAUCCUAGUUCACCCCCUUUGAGCCUUAUUGUCCAUUUUAUUUGGUUUAGCCUUGGGUGGGAGCUUGGAAAUUGUUGAUAUGAGAUAGUGGGCGUUGUGGAGAUGUGUGACUAUGAAUUAUGAAUUUUGUUCUUGAUUGGAAAAAUCCUAGUACCCUGUAUUGUUUGAGAAAAAAAAAAAAAAAAAGAAAAGAAAAGAAAAGAAAAAAAAAUGGGUACGUAGGAUGCUUUAGAAAGUCAUAAUGUCAUAAGAAAUAAUUGUUGAGUUGUGGUGAUUUUCGUAUUGAAAAAUUUGGUUUUGCGGAAAGUGGAGGAUAGAAUUGAGUAAGAACGCUAUAAGGUUGGUGAUUGUGCUACAUUGAGAAUUAUCUUUUAGUCACUUAGCCAAAUAUAUCCUACCCUACCAAAGAGCCUACAUUACAACCCUCAAUAAAGACCUUUUUGAUCUUGGUUAUAGGAGCACACAUUGAGUGGUGGAGAGGUGAGACGAUUGACAAGCUUAUGGUUGAGUACUUGUUUUGCUUGAAUUGAGCGUAUACACGUCCAUGUUGA